AUUGAACGCUGGCGGCAGGCCUAACACAUGCAAGUCGAACGGUAAGAGGAAGCAGCUUGCUGCUUUGCUGACGAGUGGCGGACGGGUGAGUAAUGUCUGGGAAACUGCCUGAUGGAGGGGGAUAACUACUGGAAACGGUAGCUAAUACCGCAUAACGUCGCAAGACCAAAGAGGGGGACCUUCGGGCCUCUUGCCAUCGGAUGUGCCCAGAUGGGAUUAGCUAGUAGGUGGGGUAACGGCUCACCUAGGCGACGAUCCCUAGCUGGUCUGAGAGGAUGACCAGCCACACUGGAACUGAGACACGGUCCAGACUCCUACGGGAGGCAGCAGUGGGGAAUAUUGCACAAUGGGCGCAAGCCUGAUGCAGCCAUGCCGCGUGUAUGAAGAAGGCCUUCGGGUUGUAAAGUACUUUCAGCGGGGAGGAAGGGAGUAAAGUUAAUACCUUUGCUCAUUGACGUUACCCGCAGAAGAAGCACCGGCUAACUCCGUG
rnacentral:rRNA from 1 species